rnacentral:rRNA from 2 species
UUAAAUUGAAGAGUUUGAUCAUGGCUCAGAUUGAACGCUGGCGGCAGGCCUAACACAUGCAAGUCGAACGGUAACAGGAAGCAGCUUGCUGCUUUGCUGACGAGUGGCGGACGGGUGAGUAAUGUCUGGGAAACUGCCUGAUGGAGGGGGAUAACUACUGGAAACGGUGGCUAAUACCGCAUAACGUCGCAAGACCAAAGAGGGGGACCUUCGGGCCUCUUGCCAUCAGAUGUGCCCAGAUGGGAUUAGCUUGUUGGUGAGGUAACGGCUCACCAAGGCGACGAUCCCUAGCUGGUCUGAGAGGAUGACCAGCCACACUGGAACUGAGACACGGUCCAGACUCCUACGGGAGGCAGCAGUGGGGAAUAUUGCACAAUGGGCGCAAGCCUGAUGCAGCCAUGCCGCGUGUAUGAAGAAGGCCUUCGGGUUGUAAAGUACUUUCAGCGGGGAGGAAGGUGUUGUGGUUAAUAACCGCAGCAAUUGACGUUACCCGCAGAAGAAGCACCGGCUAACUCCGUGCCAGCAGCCGCGGUAAUACGGAGGGUGCAAGCGUUAAUCGGAAUUACUGGGCGUAAAGCGCACGCAGGCGGUCUGUCAAGUCGGAUGUGAAAUCCCCGGGCUCAACCUGGGAACUGCAUUCGAAACUGGCAGGCUUGAGUCUUGUAGAGGGGGGUAGAAUUCCAGGUGUAGCGGUGAAAUGCGUAGAGAUCUGGAGGAAUACCGGUGGCGAAGGCGGCCCCCUGGACAAAGACUGACGCUCAGGUGCGAAAGCGUGGGGAGCAAACAGGAUUAGAUACCCUGGUAGUCCACGCCGUAAACGAUGUCUACUUGGAGGUUGUGCCCUUGAGGCGUGGCUUCCGGAGCUAACGCGUUAAGUAGACCGCCUGGGGAGUACGGCCGCAAGGUUAAAACUCAAAUGAAUUGACGGGGGCCCGCACAAGCGGUGGAGCAUGUGGUUUAAUUCGAUGCAACGCGAAGAACCUUACCUGGUCUUGACAUCCACGGAACUUUCCAGAGAUGGAUUGGUGCCUUCGGGAACCGUGAGACAGGUGCUGCAUGGCUGUCGUCAGCUCUGUGUGUGAAAUGUUGGGUUAAGUCCCGCAACGAGCGCAACCCUUAUCCUUUGUUGCCAGCGGUCCGGCCGGGAACUCAAAGGAGACUGCCAGUGAUAAACUGGAGGAAGGUGGGGAUGACGUCAAGUCAUCAUGGCCCUUACGACCAGGGCUACACACGUGCUACAAUGGCGCAUACAAAGAGAAGCGACCUCGCGAGAGCAAGCGGACCUCAUAAAGUGCGUCGUAGUCCGGAUUGGAGUCUGCAACUCGACUCCAUGAAGUCGGAAUCGCUAGUAAUCGUGGAUCAGAAUGCCACGGUGAAUACGUUCCCGGGCCUUGUACACACCGCCCGUCACACCAUGGGAGUGGGUUGCAAAAGAAGUAGGUAGCUUAACCUUCGGGAGGGCGCUUACCACUUUGUGAUUCAUGACUGGGGUGAAGUCGUAACAAGGUAACCGUAGGGGAACCUGCGGUUGGAUCACCUCCUUACCUGAAAGAAGC